GAUGAACGCUGGCGGCGUGCUUAACACAUGCAAGUCGAACGAAGCACUUUAUUUGAUUUCCUUCGGGACUGAUUAUUUUGUGACUGAGUGGCGGACGGGUGAGUAACGCGUGGGUAACCUGCCUUGUACAGGGGGAUAACAGUUGGAAACGGCUGCUAAUACCGCAUAAGCGCACGGCAUCGCAUGAUGCAGUGUGAAAAACUCCGGUGGUAUAAGAUGGACCCGCGUUGGAUUAGCGAGUUGGUGAGGUAACGGCCCACCAAGGCGACGAUCCAUAGCCGACCUGGGAGGGGGACCGGCCACAUUGGGACUGAGACACGGCCCAAACUCCUACGGGAGGCAGCAGUGGGGAAUAUUGCACAAUGGGCGAAAGCCUGAUGCAGCGACGCCGCGUGAGCGAAGAAGUAUUUCGGUAUGUAAAGCUCUAUCAGCAGGGAAGAUAAUGACGGUACCUGACUAAGAAGCACCGGCUAAAUACGUG
rnacentral:rRNA from 1 species